AAAAAGAUGGCCUUGGGCCUUGGGGCACUUGGGUAUUUAGUUUCAAAUUAAUAAUUUUUUUUAAUAAUUAAUUCAUACUAGUUUAAUUAAUUUGACUGGGGGACUAUUUUAAUUUUUAAUAAUAAAUAGUAUAAUAUAUUGCCGUUGAUAAUGGUGUUAUACAAAUACAUACGUAUUUUUCAAUAAAUAGUAUAGACGAGCGGCUAUAAUCUUUUAGAUAUGUAUUCACACACACACACACACACACACACAUAUGUAGGUACGUAUUUUUCAACAAUACAUUCGUGUUCUAUACACGUCUCACGUUUUCUUUAAAAAGCAAACAUACAAUAGUCGUAUUGUACAUGUACGUACGUAUUACUAAUGUUUUAUACACGUAUUUUUUUUAAAAUUUUCAGUAACACACACAAAUUCACGUAUUAUACAAAUAAUUCUCACAUAUUAUUGAAUAAGAAUAACACCUGGUACAAAAAUUAUAUUAAAAUAUCAAAUAGUGGAACAUUAAUACCUACUUUGGAUAUGUUGCAAAUUAAUAUCCAUAAGGUACAAACCAAUGCAACUAGGAGGGUCUUUAUUUUUUUUGUUUUUAGGGGAAGACUAAGAGUACAGCCGCCCGGCUAUACUCCAUGUUUUCAAAUUUUUUAAAAAAGAUAUGUGUUGACACGAGGGUCCAAAUGGCAGGAGUCUUUUUUACAUUUUAAAAACGUAUAGCCGCAAGGCUAUACUCAGUUUUGAAAUAUUUUUUACAAAGGCAUGUGCUGACACGUGGGGCAUAAUGGUUGGGGACUUUUUUUAUAUUUAAAAGUAGUAUAGCCGAACGGCUAUACUCAGUUUUGAAAUUUUUUUUAAAAAAGACACGUGUUGACACGUGUCGCCUAUUGGAUGGGAGAACUUUUUUUACAUUUAAGAAGUAUAGCCGGCCGGCUGUACUCAGUUUUGAAAAUUUUAUUUUUUUUAUAUUUAAAAAUAGUAUAGCCGCCCGGCUAUACUCAGUUUUGAAAUGUUUUUUAAAAAGACAUGUGUUGACACGUGGCUCCUAUUGGUUGGGGGAACUUUUUCUACAUUUAAAGCAGUACAGCCGGCCGGCUGUACUCAGUUUUGAAAAUUUUAUUUUUUUUUAUAUUUAAAAAUAGUACAGCCGCGCGGCUAUACUCAGUUUUGAAAUUUUUUUCAAAAGACAUGUGUCGACACGUGGCGCCUAUUGGUUGGGAGAAAUUUUUAUAUACGGAAAACACGUAUAGCCGCCCGGCUAUACUCGGUUUUGAAAUUUUUAUUUUUUUUAUAUUCAAAAAUAGUAUAGCCGCGCGGCUAGACUCAGUUUUGAUUUUUUUUCAAAAAGACAUGUGUUGACACGUGGCGCCUAUUGGUUGGGGGCCCUUUUUUUAUAUUUAAAAAUAGUACAGCCGCGCGGCUACACUCAGUUUAGCAAUUUUUUUUUUUUAAAUUUUAAAAAAGUACAUGUGUUGACAUGUGGCUCCUAUUUGUUGGGGGACUUUUUUUAUAUUAAAAAAUAGUAUAGCCAACCGGCUAUACUUACUUUUUUUUAUUUAAAAAAAAAUAGAAGCCAAUUGGGCUUCAAAUUCAACUUGGGCAUUGAAUAUUUAAUAUUUAAUUAUCAAAAAGAUGGCCUUGGGCCUUGGGGCACUUGGGUAUUUAGUUUCAAAUUAAUAAUUUUUUUUAAUUAAUAAUUAAUUCAUACUAGUUUAAUUAAUUUGACUGGGGGACUAUUUUAAUUUUUAAUAAUAAAUAGUAUAAUAUAUUGCCGUUGAUAAUGGUGUUAUACAAAUACAUACGUAUUUUUCAAUAAAUAGUAUAGACGAGCGGCUAUAAUCUUUUAGAUAUGUAUUCACACACACACACACAUAUGUAGGUACGUAUUUUUCAACAAUACAUUCGUGUUCUAUACACGUCUCACGUUUUCUUUAAAAAGCAAACAUACAAUAGUCGUAUUGUACAUGUACGUACGUAUUACUAAUGUUUUAUACACGUAUUUUUUUUAAAAUUUUCAGUAACACACACAAAUUCACGUAUUAUACAAAUAAUUCUCACAUAUUAUUGAAUAAGAAUAACACCUGGUACAAAAAUUAUAUUAAAAUAUCAAAUAGUGGAACAUUAAUACCUACUUUGGAUAUGUUGCAAAUUAAUAUCCAUAAGGUACAAACCAAUGCAACUAGGAGGGUCUUUAUUUUUUUUGUUUUUAGGGGAAGACUAAGAGUACAGCCGCCCGGCUAUACUCCAUGUUUUCAAAUUUUUUAAAAAAGAUAUGUGUUGACACGAGGGUCCAAAUGGCAGGAGUCUUUUUUACAUUUUAAAAACGUAUAGCCGCAAGGCUAUACUCAGUUUUGAAAUAUUUUUUACAAAGGCAUGUGCUGACACGUGGGGCAUAAUGGUUGGGGACUUUUUUUAUAUUUAAAAGUAGUAUAGCCGAACGGCUAUACUCAGUUUUGAAAUUUUUUUUAAAAAAGACACGUGUUGACACGUGUCGCCUAUUGGAUGGGAGAACUUUUUUUACAUUUAGGAAGUAUAGCCGGCCGGCUGUACUCAGUUUUGAAAAUUUUAUUUUUUUUAUAUUUAAAAAUAGUAUAGCCGCGCGGCUAUACUCAGUUUUGAAAUGUUUUUUAAAAAGACAUGUGUUGACACGUGGCUCCUAUUGGUUGGGGGAACUUUUUCUACAUUUAAAGCAGUACAGCCGGCCGGCUGUACUCAGUUUUGAAAAUUUUAUUUUAUUUUAUAUUUAAAAAUAGUACAGCCGCGCGGCUAUACUCAGUUUUGAAAUUUUUUUCAAAAGACAUGUGUCGACACGUGGCGCCUAUUGGUUGGGAGAAAUUUUUAUAUACGGAAAACACGUAUAGCCGCCCGGCUAUACUCGGUUUUGAAAUUUUUAUUUUUUUUAUAUUCAAAAAUAGUAUAGCCGCGCGGCUAGACUCAGUUUUGAUUUUUUUUCAAAAAGACAUGUGUUGACACGUGGCGCCUAUUGGUUGGGGGCCCUUUUUUUAUAUUUAAAAAUAGUACAGCCGCGCGGCUACACUCAGUUUAGCAAUUUUUUUUUUUUUAAAUUUUAAAAAAGUACAUGUGUUGACAUGUGGCUCCUAUUUGUUGGGGGACUUUUUUUAUAUUAAAAAAUAGUAUAGCCAACCGGCUAUACUUACUUUUUUUUAUUUAAAAAAAAAUAGAAGCCAAUUGGGCUUCAAAUUCAACUUGGGCAUUGAAUAUUUAAUAUUUAAUUAUCAAAAAGAUGGCCUUGGGCCUUGGGGCACUUGGGUAUUUAGUUUCAAAUUAAUAAUUUUUUUUAAUAAUUAAUUCAUACUAGUUUAAUUAAUUUGACUGGGGGACUAUUUUAAUUUUUAAUAAUAAAUAGUAUAAUAUAUUGCCGUUGAUAAUGGUGUUAUACAAAUACAUACGUAUUUUUCAAUAAAUAGUAUAGACGAGCGGCUAUAAUCUUUUAGAUAUGUAUUCACACACACACACACACACACACACACAUAUGUAGGUACGUAUUUUUCAACAAUACAUUCGUGUUCUAUACACGUCUCACGUUUUCUUUAAAAAGCAAACAUACAAUAGUCGUAUUGUACAUGUACGUACGUAUUACUAAUGUUUUAUACACGUAUUUUUUUUAAAAUUUUCAGUAACACACACAAAUUCACGUAUU
rnacentral:lncRNA from 1 species